CCUACGGGUGGCAGCAGUGAGGAAUAUUGGUCAAUGGGCGCGAGCCUGAACCAGCCAAGCAGCGUGAAGGAUGACUGCCCUACGGGUUGUAAACUUCUUUUAUAAAGGAAUAAAGUGAGGCACGUGUGCCUCUUUGUAUGUACUUUAUGAAUAAGGAUCGGCUAACCUCGUGCCAGCAGCCGCGGUAAUACGGAGGAUCCGAGCGUUAUCCGGAUUUAUUGGGUUUAAAGGGAGCGUAGAUGGGUUGUUAAGUCAGUUGUGAAAGUUUGCGGCUCAACCGGAAAAUUGCAAUUGAUACUGGCAGUCUUGAGUACAGUAGAGGUAGGCGGAAUUCGUGGUGUAGCGGUGAAAUGCUUAGAUAUCACGAAGAACACCGGUGGCGAAGGCGGCUUACUAGACUGCCACUGACGUUGAUGCGCGAAAGUGUGGGUAGCAAACAGGAUUAGAUACCCGAGUAGUC
rnacentral:rRNA from 1 species